GAUGAACGCUGGCGGCGUGCCUAAUACAUGCAAGUCGAGCGAACAGAUAAGGAGCUUGCUCCUUUGACGUUAGCGGCGGACGGGUGAGUAACACGUGGGUAACCUACCUAUAAGACUGGAAUAACUCCGGGAAACCGGGGCUAAUGCCGGAUAACAUUUAGAACCGCAUGGUUCUAAAGUGAAAGAUGGUUCUGCUAUCACUUAUAGAUGGACCCGCGCCGUAUUAGCUAGUUGGUAAGGUAAUGGCUUACCAAGGCAACGAUACGUAGCCGACCGGAGAGGGUGAUCGGCCACACUGGAACUGAGACACGGUCCAGACUCCUACGGGAGGCAGCAGUAGGGAAUCUUCCGCAAUGGGCGAAAGCCUGACGGAGCAACGCCGCGUGAGUGAUGAAGGGUUUCGGCUCGUAAAACUCUGUUAUUAGGGAAGAACAAACGUGUAAGUAACUGUGCACGUCUUGACGGUACCUAAUCAGAAAGCCACGGCUAACUCCGUGCCAGCAGCCGCCGUAAAAC
rnacentral:rRNA from 1 species